UACGUAGGGGGCAAGCGUUGUCCGGAAUCAUUGGGCGUAAAGCGCGUGUAGGCGGCUUGAUAAGUCUGCUCUGAAAGCCCGGGGCUCAACCCCGGGAGGCGGGUGGAUACUGUCAAGCUCGAGUCCGGAAGAGGAGUGUGGAAUUCCUGGUGUAGCGGUGAAAUGCGCAGAUAUCAGGAGGAACACCAGUGGCGAAGGCAGGCACUCGUCG
rnacentral:rRNA from 1 species